rnacentral:rRNA from 1 species
CUAAGAAUAUUCCGCAAUGGACGGAAGUCUGACGGAGCGACGCCGCGUGGAUGACGAAGGCCGAAAGGUUGUAAAGUUCUUUUGCUGGGGAAGAAUAACCGCAGGAGGGAAUGCCUGUGGGACGACAAGAACCGGCGAAUAAGCCCCGGCCAACUACGUGCCAGCAGCCGCGGUAACACGUAGGGGGCGAGCGUUGUUCGGAAUUACUGGGCGUAAAGGGCAUGUAGGCGGCUUGGAAAGCCCGGCGUGAAAGUCUGCAGCUUAACUGCAGGGGUGCGCUGGGAACUGCUGAGCUUGAGUGACGGAGAGGGAGCUGGAAUUCCUGGUGUAGGGGUGAAAUCUGUAGAUAUCAGGAAGAACACCGAUGGCGAAGGCAAGCUCCUGGCCGAUGACUGACGCUGAGGUGCGAAAGUGUGGGGAUCAAACAGGAUUAGAUACCCUGGUAGUCCACACAGUCAACGAUGUGCACUAGGUGCUGGGGCGGUAGCUUCGGUGCCGGAGCGAACGUGGUAAGUGCACCGCCUGGGGAGUAUGCUCGCAAGGGUGAAACUCAAUGAAUUGACGGGGUC